rnacentral:rRNA from 1 species
CUUUUUUUGUUAGUUUUUGAAGUAUGGCCUGCCCGCUGACUUUUAGUUGAAGGGCCGCGGUAUUUUGACCGUGCAAAGGUAGCACAAUCAUUAGUUCUUUAAUUGUGAUCUGGAAUGAAUGGCUUGACGAGAUGCGAGCUGUCUUAAAUUUGAAUAUUUUAUUGAAUUUGGUUUUUGAGUUAAAAUUCUUAGAUGUUUUUAUGGGACGAGAAGACCCUAUAGAGUUUGACAUGUUGGUUUACUUGUUUAUUUGUCGUUUGUUUUGUUUUUGAUAAGUGGGCUUUAUGUUUUGUUGGGGUGAUGAGAGGAAUAUAAUUUAACUCCUCUUGGUUUAGUGGUUAUAUUGAUUUAUAUUUAUUUGAUCCCUUUUUUUUGAUUAUAAGAUUAAAUUACC